CCCCUCUCAGGAUGGCACCUGGAGAGUUUCUACUACUCUACUAGUCUCAGCUAUAGGAGGGAGAGUCAGGGAGAGUCCUACCCAUUCCAUUCCUAGCUUGGCCAGUGGCUAGUGAGUGGAAGACAAUCUGCCACAAGU